UACAGUUACUCUUGUCAUCCUCGCUGAAGAGCAAGAAUAGUUCACAACCAAAUAGUUGUCGUCAACAAAAAGAUUUCUUUGCACUAGUUCCUCUUUCAACUCACGAUCUGGAGCUAACACUUGCAAACAUCGUUCAGCGUCCACUCGACUGGCUAAAGGAACUUUCACAGUUCUACAUAUUACAGGUAUUAGCAAAUCAUUUAUAAAUAUAAUUAAGGGAAGCUGAAUGAACGACAAAUAGCUACUUACACUUUAUGAGGAAGCACGAUCAUUUCUGACAUUUUAAUAGGGAAAUCGUAUUCUAGGACUCCAAACUUUUUUAAAAAAUCGAAAAAUAGAUUAACACUUCUUCGCAAUCCCGAUCAAUUAAAUAUUCAUUAAGCACAAAGUCAAUAAAGCCACGUUUAUGCAAGUAGUGGUAGAAUGCUUUGUAAGACCAAUGAAUGUAAUUUUGUCUACUGAGGUGGUACUAAGCCAUAUAGCUAUUAAAGAACCUUACUUAGAUUAUAUUUGCAAUAACAUAUAAUCUUUUAAAUGA